GUGUGCAGUAAAGCAGAGCACUGCACUUUGCUAAUGCAUUUUAAUUGAAGAAAACUAAAUGCUGUUGUAAAAACAACACACUGAAUUAAGGCAGGUUUUAUUUUUCUAGCAUAUUUCUAGUCCCUCAGCGACAAUCCAAAAGUUUAACUCCGCGAACUCUUUUUCGCCACACAAACAGUGACGUCAUGGAUGAUAAGGGAAAAGAAGUAAUAGCUGGCUUAUUCUAACUUCUCCCCAGACACAUAUCUGGGUCACCUCAGUACUGACGUGCUCUAUAUAGCUGGUAUAAGCCAUUAUUUGCUGCGCUUUAUUUAACAUUAGCUCAACAAACCAACACAACUCCUUAAGUUGUCAGACAAGGUUAGCUUCACCUGCUGGUUUGACAACUCUGUCAACUUCCCGGUAAGAGAGGAGUUUUUACCUGCCCUUUACAAUAACUUCAACAAACAUUCAAAUAGCUGUCACAUUUCACCAUGCCUCUAUAUUUAAACAUAACUCCGCGCAUGUUACGGUGAUUUUUUUUCCCAUGGGAUCUAUCAGAAGUGUAAGCAGCAAUAGCCCCGAUCUCCCAUCCGCGGUGUGAUGUAGCUCUUUGGCUAGCUGUCCGCCGGGUGUGGGUUUCGUGUUUAACUUCACAUACCGCGAACACAUAUGUCACAUACAUUAUUAACACUAUCCUUAACAUUACUUAAAGGUUUGUGUAAACUAUGCAUAACAGCGAUUCUAUGGAUCAGUGUCUCUGCUUUGAGCUAGCUAGUUAGCCACAUUACAGAAUGUGUGUAAAAAAAAAACGCCGAUCCGGAUUGGUCCGUUGAUGUCGGAAGACCGUUGCUAUUGGUUCACGUGCGGGUCUGUCACAACAGAGACUCGCCUCUUUGUGCCAACUGAGACUCCCAACUCCUGACAAACACAAGGCCUUUAUCCCACUUCGCUGUGACAACCAGCGACAACUUCCACAGCCGCUUGGGUUCUGCACUCACACGCGUAUGUGAACAAGGAGGAGCACGAUGGUUUGGUGUCACAGCUCGAAGGAAAGAAACAGGAGCAGCUUCAUAGCAGUGCAAAGCAGCUGUGCCACAGGGAAAACUAAGCCCUGUAGCUGCAAAAGAGGACAGACAAUUCACAUAUUCCAUUAUGGUGUGUGUGUUGGCUGACAUUGCACUUGUACAGAAGACGUGGCCUUUGGUUUAAGGAUGUAUACACACCACCUCAGGAGGAGACAGGAGAAAA